rnacentral:lncRNA from 1 species
CCUGACACUGACUGCUCUAAGUACGCAUAUAAUUACUAAUACGUCUAUACUUUCAUAUCGCGUUUCGCUACAUUUUCGUCGUACAGGACAUAACUAAGUUCAAAUGUCCACGCAGGGUGAACUGAAUGCGAAUUGCAAGGUGGCAGAACGAAGGACACGAUCGAGUUAUGAGUCGCAGUUGUACCAUCUAUAUACCCAAAACAAUAGUACUUCGAUUAGUCAUAGGCUCAUUGCUCACUCAAUAUACAAUACCAGAGAUGUAGUAAGUAGUAAACACUCAAUUUAGACAUAUUAGUCUUCAGAGAUUCACAACAGAAUCAGAGAUAAGUUCGUUCUCCAUAUCAUAGCAUCUCAAGCAUAUAUUAGUUAUGAGUUAUGACCUUUCAUUCCCCAUAACCUGCCCCUUCCUAACACCAAUGGUUUUACAAGAAACGAAAUUUGACAUUACACCUGUCUACAAACUCGAAUCGACACAUAAGCUCUCUGCAACCUUCUGCUUGUCAUUCAGUUCUCUGAGCAAACCCCAAGAACAAAAAAUUGUGGACAUUCAUCUUCCACAUCGGACCAAAUGAAUACGAAUUUUGACAAUUAAUUAAAAUUACCUUUCGUGCCGGAGGUCAGUCUAUGAACAUUGAUCUACAACACGUGCAAGCUAUGGAGAAACGAGUCAGCUAGUCAGAAGCGAGAUUGCAUCAUGAGCUAGUUUCACUUGCUGAUAUGGAGUACUCUUCGGACUUGACGAGGCUCUGCUGUCCUUUACUACUGAUAUCAAGUCCCUGGAACCGGGCCAGAGAUUCAUUCUGCAUGGCAUCAGAGAGAUGGUGAUUAUUUGCUUGAUGCAUGUUCUGGGAAGGCAUUGCUUGCUGUGGA